UACGUAGGGAGCAAGCGUUGUUCGGAUUUACUGGGCGUAAAGGGCGCGUAGGCGGCAGAUCAAGUCAGCUGUGAAAUCUCCGAGCUUAACUCGGAACGGUCAGCUGAUACUGUUUUGCUAGAGUGCAGAAAGGGCAAUCGGAAUUCUUGGUGUAGCGGUGAAAUGCGUAGAUAUCAAGAGGAACACCUGAGGCGAAGGCGGGUUGCUAGGCUGACACUGACGCUGAGGCGCGAAAGCCAGGGGAGCAAACGGGAUUAGAAACCCUCGUAGUCC
rnacentral:rRNA from 1 species